ACGUCUGUCACGAGAUGUCAUUAUUAAUCUUAUCGACCCAGCGGAUUAUCAGACUGAAGUCAGGGUUAUUGAAUCUAGCCAAUCAAUGUUCGCUGGGUCCUGCAGUGACCCUGAUUUAUCGGCCUGAUUUAUCCGCUGGGUCGAUAAAAUUGAUUGAUGUAAACACGGUAGUGUUUUUGGUUAGACCUCUCGGGUAUCAAUAUAAUAAUAAAUACGCGUAUAUUAAAAUUAAAAAGGAAACAUUAGCAGUAUUAAUAAAUUGCAUACUACUAUUAUUCUUUUUCUGCACGUCCGAGUGGUGGCCAAUGAUGUUGACGUUCGCGGCGAGUUUGUAAUAAUUUCGGAGUGUAACUCAUGUUUAUGUCUAUACUUUGCAGAAAACUAUAAAAAAAUUAUAAAUGAACUGGGUUGAAAAAUUGGAUAUAUUGACGACAUACUUUGGACAUCCCUAAAACGUCUGUAUAAAUAAUUUUAUUAUAAGACAUCCAAACGUCCUUGGGACGUAUUUUAGACAUCCAGUGUACCGUGACAUAUGGGACGUUUCAGGACAUAUUUCGGACGUCCAAAGGACGUGUUGCGUCCAUGUGUUACAUGGAAAGAAACAUUUCAUUAUGGGCGUCGAAUAAUACUCGUCUCCUUUUAACAAUAUACAAA